rnacentral:rRNA from 1 species
GAUGAACGCUGGCGGCGUGCCUAAUACAUGCAAGUCGAGCGAACAGACGAGGAGCUUGCUCCUUUGACGUUAGCGGCGGACGGGUGAGUAACACGUGGGUAACCUACCUAUAAGACUGGGAUAACUUCGGGAAACCGGAGCUAAUACCGGAUAAUAUUUCGAACCGCAUGGUUCGAUAGUGAAAGAUGGCUCUGCUAUCACUUAUAGAUGGACCUGCGCCGUAUUAGCUAGUUGGUAAGGUAACGGCUUACCAAGGCAACGAUACGUAGCCGACCUGAGAGGGUGAUCGGCCACACUGGAACUGAGACACGGUCCAGACUCCUACGGGAGGCAGCAGUAGGGAAUCUUCCGCAAUGGGCGAAAGCCUGACGGAGCAACGCCGCGUGAGUGAUGAAGGUCUUCGGAUCGUAAAACUCUGUUAUUAGGGAAGAACAAACGUGUAAGUAACGGUGCACGUCUUGACGGUACCUAAUCAGAAAGCCACGGCUAACUACGU